AGAUUAUGAUGAGUUUCAUGAUGGAGAAAUUUGGAUCAAAUAUUCCUCCACCAACAAAGGAAGAUCUUGGAGGCAAGAAGAGAGCAACAAAAAAAACUCAAGGAAGACAAUGGCCAAGAAGAGGGAACAGAGAAAAUCAAAGUAAUGUUCAUGAUGA